rnacentral:pre_miRNA from 1 species
UGACCUUGCGUGACAACGAGAGAGAGCACGCUUGUGGCCAUUCAUGUGAGGUACAUGCCUGUGCACAUGCGUGCUCUUUCUCGUUGUCACCUAAGUAUUCU